GUAUAAAUUACCUUCUAUAUCCCAAUAUCUUCCAUAAAAUUGCUUAUUUAACAGCAUCAAGCAAAAUUUUUUAUAUAUAUAUAUAAUAAUAACUGAUUAUUUUUUUCAUUCUAUCACUGAAUGCUGUAAGACAUCUCCCACUAACUUUUCCUUGUAUCUUUGUUAGAAGCAGCGAUGUUGUUUCAAUUGAAAAUAUAAAAAUCUCACUACCACUUGCUUUCAGUCUCUUGUCAUCGUCGUCGUAAUCAUCGUUGACGACGCCGUGAAUAUUAUUGUCACUUUCGCCGAACGUUUUCGACUUCAUUGGAAUCAUCAUUCUACCGCUUCCACCACCUCGUCUCCAUCACUACCACCACUGCAACCACAACCAUUAUCCGCCACCACUAUUACUACUACCAUUGUAAACUCAAAUGUAAUCAUCAUAAUCAGAAAUAAGAGCAGCAGGGACAUCGCCACCGUGCCCGCCAUCAUACAUACACUAGCAUCACUGCUAUUACAAAUAUUACCUUGUUUCAUCGACUAUGUUCUCAUAAUUCGAUAACCACCUAUAUUCCUAAUGUAGCUCUUAUCGCCGACGACGUCGACGUUGCCGCCGCCGCCACUGCCGCCGCCGCCGCCGCCGCUGCCGCUGCCGCCGCCGCCGCCGUCGUCGUCGUCGUCGUCAUCACCAUCAUCCACAUCAAUACUAUUAUCGUCAUCGCUGCUGUCGCAUCCCCCUCCUCAAUACCAAUAACUAUAAAAGAUAUCUGCUGUUUAGUCUAACCUUACUGUUGUUUCUGCUGUUGCUGCUACAGCUGCUGCGGCUGCUGCUGUUGAUCCUAUUCUUGCUGCUGCUUCUGAUGAUGUGGCGGCGCUCAUGUGCAAUGUACAGUGCGGCGGCGGACGAUAAACAUGAAUUACGGCUGUAGCUGGGUGCUCAUAUCGCCACAACCGAUCUCGACAGCGGUGCGGCCUUACGCAGAAGGGCGCCCCUGAAAGCUGUUUUUAAGCAAUUGUUAACAGCUAAAUGCCACUGUCUUCUUCGAUACAAAAAGGACUAGUGGAUGACCCCAGUAACACAGUGGAGCUGGUCUUUAGCAUUUACAUGGCACCUCCCUUUCGGACUAACAACCGGUUGAAAAUACAGAUUCUACAUAUUCCACUAUGCGUCUCCCCAUGACAUCUGUAGGAAGGGCAUUGUUUCUUGUCGUGCUUGUAUAUGCCCAAGUGAAUUUACAAGGUA
rnacentral:lncRNA from 1 species